UACGUAGGGUGCAAGCGUUGUCCGGAAUUAUUGGGCGUAAAGAGCUCGUAGGCGGCUUGUCGCGUCGACUGUGAAAACCCGCGGCUCAACUGCGGGCCUGCAGCCGAUACGGGCAGGCUAGAGUUCGGUAGGGGAGACUGGAAUUCCGGGUGUAGCGGUGAAAUGCGUAGAUAUCCGGAGGAACAUCAGUGGCGAAGGCGGCUUCCUGGCCUAAGACUGACGCUGAGGUACGAAAGCGUGGGGAGCAAACAGGG
rnacentral:rRNA from 1 species